AGAGUUUGAUCCUGGCUCAGGAUUAACGCUGGCGGCGUGCCUAAUACAUGCAAGUCGAACGGAAACCUUCGGGUUUUAGUGGCGAACGGGUGAGUAACACGUAAGCAACCUACCCUAAAGACGAGGAUAACCAUUUGGAAACAGUGGCUAAGACUGGAUAGGAAGAAAUAAGGCAUCUUAUUUCUUUUAAAAGACCUAGUAAUAGGUAUACUUUAGGAGGGGCUUGCGCCAUAUUAGUUAGUUGGUAGGGUAAUGGCCUACCAAGACGAUGAUGUGUAGCUGGACUGAGAGGUUGAACAGCCACAUUGGGACUGAGACACGGCCCAAACUCCUACGGGAGGCAGCAGUAAGGAAUUUUCGGCAAUGGAGGAAACUCUGACCGAGCAACGCCGCGUGAACGACGAAGUACUUUGGUAUGUAAAGUUCUUUUAUCAAGGAAGAAAAGCAAGUGGCGAACCAUUUGUUUGCCGGUACUUGAUGAAUAAGCCCCGGCUAAUUAUGUGCCAGCAGCCGCGGUAAGACAUAAGGGGCAAGUGUUAUCCGGAAUUAUUGGGCGUAAAGGGUGCGUAGGCGGUCUAGUAAGUCAGUGGUGUAAUGGCAACGCUCAACGUUGUCCGGCUAUUGAAACUGCUAAACUUGAGUUAGAUAGAGGCGAGUGGAAUUCCAUGUGUAGCGGUAAAAUGCGUAAAUAUAUGGAGGAACACCAGAGGCGUAGGCGGCUCGCUGGGUCUUAACUGACGCUGAGGCACGAAAGCGUGGGGAGCAAACAGGAUUAGAUACCCUGGUAGUCCA
rnacentral:rRNA from 1 species